GGCAGCCAUCUGGCUGACUGAAGGUGUGGGCUAGCGCGUGCGUCAUUGGGCACGUGACGACACAGCCACUGGGGAGGUUGUGGCGCCACUUCACAAGUGUGUGGCGACGCCAUACUCGCGGUAGGCUAGCCAUCGUGACGUGCGUUCUACUUGAGCAUCCCGGCUAGUUUCCGAAUGUCUUCUAAACGACCACUUACGCCAGAAAAGUUGGAAGAACGGAGGCGACGCCAUGCAGCAGUUCAACGCCGCUGGUACGCCGCGAGAACGGGUGCUGAACGGGAGCGCCUGCUCCAGCGAAAGCGUGAAGCAGAACGCCGUCGUUACAGCGGUUUGGAUGAAGAACAACUUGCUCAACGGAAACAAAGGAGACGCGAAAAAGAUCUAGCACGCAUCUAUAGUUCACUAUAUCUACUACACGCAGGAACGCGCGUCGAAGCGGCUGAAGCGGUUCGUCAAUCUGACAACAUACAUGCAGUGAAACAAGAGCCACCGCAGAGCCCAACAACUUCUGCAGGUGAAUCUGGCGAGAGUUCUGGAAUAUCACCCAAGGCUGAGAUUGGCAAGAAAUCACGACAUCGCUGUGCGGUUGUUGGUUGCACCAAGCCCACCAAGCCUCUACAUCGGAUGCCCCAGAACCUCGAGCUGCGGCGCAAGUGGCUGGAGAUAAUCGGCCUCCUCGAGUCGGAGACGCGAACCUUCCUAUUCGUGUGCAAACGGCAUUUUGCCGCCGAUGCUUACACACUAAAUCCAGACCUGCUGCAGGACAUGGGCUUCACAACUAGGUACUACCUGCGGGCAGAUGCAGUGCCAUCCCUGUUUCUUCCCAGCGAUCUAAAGCAAGAAGCACAGCAAGAAACACCGCAGAGCCAUUCAACAGCUGAAACACAGCCCCAGACAUGCAGGCGGACCUCGACUUUGGUGUCUCGGCGGGGACACAGACCGAUGACCUGGCACUGUUCACACGUACGACACAGAACAUCGAGCAAAAUGCUGCAUCUCCACCGGAUCGAACGUGUGACUGCAGCUGCCAUCGCGUGUGCCACUGUAGUUGCCGGCAAAGUGCAGUGAACUCGAUAGCCACACAAACUACCACAAUUGGGAGCGUGAUCUGCCUGUGGACAUCAUGAUAAAGUCUUGUAAGUGACGUUGGUAGACUUCAGUGUCAACAGACUUAUGUCUGUGGUGGCACGGACCACUGCCUGUUCUGUGGUAUUGCCCGUGACAAGGAGUGCCAUGUCAUUCUCUGGCAGUAUGACUAGUUCCAGAGACCCGAUUCGUCAAUUCAAGUGGCACCAAACAACCAAGUGCAGCUUGAGGAAGAGGUGCCAACAGAAUGCAGAUGCGAUCAACAGUGCCGUUCAACAAAGGGGCAAAGUCAUCAGCCUUCUUUCCGUACCUUUGAUGCCAAGCUUCUCUGCUAACAUUAUCCUAUGGCACUCUCACCAGCUGCGACUGAUAGCACAGAAAAAUUUUCAUCUGACCAAAGAUGAUCAAGUUCAUUCUUUGGCUACUACUCAUGGUAACUUGUGAGAAAAUGGUUCUCAUAUAUCAUCCUGCUUUUCACCUUUGAAAUUUAAAAGCAGAGAUGAAAAGCAAAGGCAUGCAAUAAACCAUGUGACAUUUCCUGAAA
rnacentral:misc_RNA from 1 species